UUGAUAAUCUUCGUUACUGUUUAUUACUAAAUGGUAAUCCGUCAUUAACCAGGAUGUUUCCACUUCAAUACUUCAGCUUCCUUCCCUGCUAGGAUCGAAAUGGUACCUGAGGCGAAGUGAGCCUUGUGUCUUGUUGCUGCCGGGUUCAACUGCUUGUGGAUGAUUGGCUCAGAUUUGUGCAGAGUCUCCAUCUUUUCUCUUGAACUUCCUGUCAGCGUCCCAUGCCAGCCUCGGCUGCUGGCGCCGACUGCCCGUCGGGGGUGCUGCUGGCCAGCUCCUCCACCGUGAGAGGGACAGACGCGGUCUUCGGAUUGGCGGUUCUCUCAGCAUGCCGGACCCCCCUCGAUACCUUUCUUUUUAUUGCCCGUCGAUAAAUGUCGAAUGCAUGGAUGCACAAAUGGUAAACGGAGCUUUUAAAUUCAGUUUUGUUACGAACUUUGCUUUUUUAAAAAAAAUGUUGACUCUCCCCUCCUGACUACUAAAAAUGCAAGCACUGAUCAUGAGCUGACACGUAACAGAGAGGAAAUCCUUUUACAGUAUAAAACAUAAGUAAGGGUAGAAUGUUUAU
rnacentral:lncRNA from 1 species